AGUCUGCGGAGGGGGAGGGCGAGGGGCGGCGGCGCAGGGGUGCACAGAGGCGGACGGCGAGGUGGAUUUCGGAGCCGCGGCGCUUACCUGAUAGUCGACAGAGGCGAGGACGGAGAGGACAGCGGAGGAGGAGAAGGUGGCUGUGGUGGCGGCGGCAGAAGGAGUCAGAACAAGGACAGGCCUGUGAUGUGUCUGUCUAUGACGAGGAGGACAAUGUCCUAAGGAACAGAGAGGAAGAAAGUGAAGGGAACCAGGUCCCUGGAUUCCAUGUGGAACAGUAGCCCAGGAUGUGCACUAUGGACUGUUACAAGAAAGAGAAAGACAUGAUCUUCCUUAAGGCAUUGAUUUAUCCUGGGUCUCUUUGUUAUAGCUACUUAAUGUUACCUUAAUACACCCACUUCAUGGACAAGCAAAACUGAGGCUCGGAGAAGCCCACGUUGACACAGCAAGGAAGGCUGGGGCUCUUGUGCUGCUUAAAUGGACCCUGAUGUCUCCCAAAUGUUUUCAUGCUGGAUUCUGAGCCACUGUCCUGGCUGCAACUCUGAGGCCGGGCAGACCUCCCACUGGAAAGAGAACUUGAAUACUGGUGAGAGGUAGAUUUGAAGCCAGGAGCCCCAGGUUUUGGCUCUGCAGGUUUGCACCCAGCUCUGAGGUGUGUGCUCUCACAGGUCACCCAGGACCUCCUGUCCAGGUUUCUUCAGGCCACCCAUGAUGGAGUGGAUUUGAGGAAUGAGGUUUUCAAAGCAGUUAGUGUGGGGGAGAGUAACCCUGGGGCCUCCGGAACCAGAAGGGAGGGAUUUGGGGGCUGGAGCUGGGCAGUCCAGGUUCCAUUGUCCUCAUGUUCUCCCCACUGGCCUGGCCUGUCACUCCAGUCUCUGCAUAGGUUGUCACAUGGCAUUCUCCCUGUGUGUCUCUGUGUCUCUUCACUUCUUUAUAAGGACAUAGUUAUAAUGGAUUAGGGCCCACCCUAA